rnacentral:tRNA from 1 species
UAGGACAGUUGGUAGAGCAUGGCACUUGCAAUGCCAGGGUUGUGGGUUCGAUUCCCAU